GUUUGCAAUGUAUACUAACUAGUAAUGAUUUCAGUUUUAGAAGGAAUUUAUGUCCUUCAGAAUCUUAAUGCUAUAAAUUUGAUACCAAAUAAAUAGCCUUUUGCUAGUGAAUGUUAAUGCCUUUUAAAUUUCCGUGCAUGCAUUAUUUUUUUGGCUUUUUAGUUUUAUAGCUAGAAUACAUUUAUCUUUAUAAAAGUAAGGAUAAAGUAGGUAGGUUAUGUUGCUUGUGGUUCCAAUUUAACAUCAGAAGUUUGAUACUAGACAGAUGUAGGGGCUGAUGGUCUGGUAAGAAGAACUUGAAGCAAAAGUUCAUUAUAGUUUAAGACAGACAAAGUAUUAAAGGCCUGUGCCAAAGUGGAUGAGAGAUGGUAGAGAUUAUAGAGAACCUGGGGCUUCAUUAAGACCUAGCUUGGUCGUAUUGCUGUUAUGAGAACAGACAGUAGUUUCUACCUCUAAAACAUAUUAUAUGCCGUACAUACUUUAACCUAUUUUACAAUUUACAUUUAUUAUGCCCACUGAAACCACAAAACCAAUGUUUAAUUUUACAGUUUAAAGUCACACAUAAGGAAAUGCUUUACAAAAUAGGAUAUUGUUCCUUAAUGAAAAAUAUUACAGUAAAGGUCCCAAACAUCUUAUUUCAAGUGGUUUACCUGAAUAAUAGAGCUGUUGUGGAAUGUAGGCUACAAAACACAGUAAUGCUUUCAAUAGUUGUUUCAGGUUUGAAAUAUGCCAAAGCUGAAGAGACAUUUUAAACAAGACCCGUCUUCGUUUUCCAAGAUCUUUUUUUUUUAAAUUUUCCAACAGCAUUGUAUUCACUGAAAAAAUGCCAUCACUUCUGGAGAACUGAGAGUAAAAAGCAGCUUACAUUUUACUGCUUGUAUACAGCAUGUAAAUCUUCAAUAUUUUACUCUGCCUUGAAAGCAUCUUUCAAGACUUAAAAAUAUCAGUUCUAUACCUAUUUUGGUUUAUUACCUGACUUGACUCACAGACACUAAUAUAGAAGUCAAAUAUCUGUGGCCACUGCCCAAAUCAAAUCCAACAUAUUCCUGCAAUCUGUUUAGUUAUCCACAGUCUAUUUACAAAGCACAUGCAUGAUUUCCUCUGAUGAAUGAUCUUAUUAAAAUGUAAGCAGUAUUUGUCAACUCCUACAUUUAUGUUAUGCUGGAGUGUGCAAUGCAAAAAUACCAUCCAGAGACAAUAUACAUUUCUUAAUCCAAAGUCUAGUUUCACAAAGUCACACAGUAUGAUACUCUAUCUUAGAUAUACUCAGCGUGGGGUGAAAUGUUUCUAAUAUGUUGUGAAUUGUUACAGAAAAGAUGGAGAUAGAGUAGCCAAGUGUACAGACAUAAAAUACUGCAAAACUUGAAAUCCAGCCAAAUAUACACAAAAGGUCCUUUGUGUAUAAGAAACUUGAAACAAGUUUGUUUGAAAGGAAUGCAGAUGCCUUAGUACAUGAUGGAAUGUGACUCAUCUAAAACUGGGCUACAGCAACCUGAUGCUUUUCAAGUUUGGAUGUCACCUUAAAUAUCCUCAAUAUACAUGGAGCUUCUGUCACUAAACCCUGCCAAUCUGAAUGACCAUUAGGUACAAUUUCCCAAACUUUGAUUAUCAAGUUGCGCCCAGCCUUGACAAAAAGACUUAAAGAGCUCUUUCUUGCAAACCAAGAAAUCAUGUAGAAUAAAAUAGUAACUCAGUAAUACUGCAUUUGGCAGUUGGGUCACUGAAAAUGCUAGCACCUUGAUAAAGAUUACAAUUGUUCACUGGAUGUGCCAAAGGAAAAGUAAAAAAAAAAAAAAUCCCUGUUUUAUUUGUAAAUCACAGUUGUCCUCACAGUGUUAGACUUGGAUCAUUCUGCUGUGGCAGUGCCUUAUAGGAAGAUGUGUGCGUGUGUGCUCAGUCAUGCCCGACUCUCUGGCAACCCCUGGACUGUAGCCCACCAGGCUGCUUUGCCCAUGGGAUUUUCCAGGCAAGAAUACUGGAGUGGGUUGCCAUUUUCCUACUCCAGGGGAUCUUCCCAACCCAAGGAUUGAACCCGCAAUAGGAUGAUGGGCCAUUAUUUAUUUUUUUCACUUGACCUCUGGCAGUGCACAUGGGCCAGUUGGUGGAGAUGUGAGAUAUGGACCACAGACAGCAAACUUACUUUUAGUGUGAGAACAUUAAGAGAGUGUAAGUUAAUGAAUAUAUAUAUAUAUAUAUUUCAGUCCUAUUCCAUUUUAAAACCAACAUUUUCUAACAGCACAUUCCUUUAUCUUUUCUACAAAAUCUGCAUUGACAACUAUGAUAUCAUGGCAACAGGAUAGCCAGAUGGAAUACUUUCCUGAUCUGAACACUAUGUAUAUUUUCAUUUUCUGAAUCACUGAUGUAUGGGUUGGUGUUUCAAUAUGUUCUCAUAUAUUAAUUGAAUAGAACAUUCAGUAUGCAGUAUAGACUGAUGUGUUUUAAGAGCUGUAACUUGAAAAGUCAUUUCUGUAGUUCAUGCUAGUGAAAGUGAAAGUGAAACUCACUGUCAUGUCUGACUCUUUGCAAUUCCAUGGACUAUUCAGUCUAUGGAAUUCUCCAGUCCAGAAUACUGGACUGGGUAUUUCCCUUCUCCAGGGGAUCUUCCUAUCCUUGGGAUCAAACCCCAGAUCUCUGGCAUUGCAGGCAGAUUCUUUACCAGCUGAGCUACAAAGGAAGCCCUGUAGUUCAUUCUAACAGGGAGCUAUUAGAAAGACUGUAUUUUUCAGUGGGCUAGUUGAUCUACCCACUUAGUUGGUCUACCUGUUUGACAACCUAAAACUACAGGUUGUUGUCAAAUUAGAAAAAUAAUAGAGAAAACAUACAAGUUCCUUUUCUGUGUGUCUAUAUGAUAGAUCACCUUGACCCUGCACUUGAAUGGCCAUUUGUGUUCUCAAGGUCAUUCAUGUAGAAUAAAAUAGUAACUCAGAGGUUUCUUUGUAACUUUGAAAUGUUAAAAAAUAUAUAUAAGGUGUUUCUAUGACUUCAAGUUUGACUAUUAAUAGAUUAAUAACAGUCACUGAUCAUGCAGAUAAGAUUUCAUACUCAGCCACAAACUAUUAGCAAAAUCCAGCGGUUGUUAAGUUCAGUCUUAUUUCACAGUAAACUCUAAGUUAUAGCACAAGUCCUGAACUUCUUUGGAUCUGGCUGCUGUCUCUCCUAAACCAUUAAAAUGACUUUGUUAAAAAAGGAGCCAAGGGGAGAAACAUCAGAACCAAAGACUGAUCUGGUCAACUGCGUGUUCAAAGGUGCUUUGCCUUACUAUGACCAGAUUGUGAAAUUAUAGUCUGGGGCAAGCUGGUGUGAUCAAAGGUGUCCCUGCUUGUCCCAAAUCCUAUUAUCCCUCCAAAAGAUUAACUUGUAAUAGUAAAACAUCAUAUCAUAUCAAUGGAGAUCCA
ensembl:lncRNA